rnacentral:snRNA from 1 species
ACAUAUCAGUCCACUGAUUGCCAGGGUUGAUUUGGCUGAUCUGGCUAGAUAGACAGGU